ensembl:snoRNA
AGCACUUGAGUGUUGUUUUGGUCAACUGGCAGACAAAGUCAUAGAAGACAACUGUAGGAAUGAGUCCUCUUUUGUAAUCCAGGACUUGUUGUUCAGAAUGAGUUUCGAUACAUAUGAAAAAGGAAUAC